rnacentral:rRNA from 1 species
UACAGAGGUCCCAAGCGUUGUUCGGAUUCACUGGGCGUAAAGGGUGCGUAGGUGGUGAGGUAAGUCGGAUGUGAAAGCUCGGAGCUCAACUCCGAAAUGGCAUUGGAAACUACCUUGCUCGAGGGUUGGAGGGGGGACUGGAAUGCUUGGUGUAGCAGUGAAAUGCGUAGAUAUCAGGAGGAACACCGGUGGCGAAGGCGGGUCUCUGGGCCGAUACUGACGCUGAGGAGCGAAAGCGUGGGGAGCGAACAGG